CUGCUAAUAAAGAACAAUGUGCAGCUAGAAUGUCUAAACUAGGAGGGGAUAAAACAGAGUUAAAAUGGGAAUGAGUUCUCUCCUUCCUUGGAGGAGGGCAGAGACAGGCUCCGCACACCAAUUACUGGAGGAGAUGAGGUAGCAGCCAGUGAAUUAAUGAAAUUAAACAAGUCCCCCCAGGCUAACUGGCAUAGUCUUGGGGUGGCUGCUUAAUUAGUGGGCUCUUUGUUCUGCACCUGCCUUGGUGCUCCUAGAAAUCAGGUGAGGAAAGCCUUCCCAGCCUCUGGUCAAAGCAUUUUAAGUCGAAAGUAGAGGAAAGAGAGAGACCCCAACACCAGGCGGUCAAAGGAAGCUGACCUCCUUAACUGGGACGACUUGCAAUCCACUGUUUCCCUUGGCCUAGUGGUCAAAUCUGGAAUACAUUUCAGGGCAUCGCUGCAGGUGAAAAUAAUCUCCCUCGUUCAUCCCAACAACUGCCAUCUUAUUGACAUAUGAAGAAACUGAGGCUGGGAGAAGAUUACAUGACUUGUGCCUUCUUGGAACUGACAGUCACACUAAGCUGCUGCUUGAAGGUAGCCGGUACAAGAGUGUGCCAAAGGCAAAAAUGAAAUAGUCCCUGAGCUGAUAUGCUGAGGGAAAACACAACAUUGGAAAGUUUGACACAGGGGGUCCACCCUGCCUUUCUAGUAACAUCAUGAACAUCAUGAAGAUGCCAGUGGAACACAUGUAUUGUCCACUUAAUCAACUCAUGUUAUUUAUCGCUGAUACAUUUCUUGCAUGAAAUCUCUUAUGCUGGUUCUCCUUUGUU
rnacentral:lncRNA from 1 species